rnacentral:lncRNA from 1 species
CCCCACACACCCUCUCCCAGGUGGUCAUCACUCAAGCUCGCACUUUCUGCUGAUGUACGUCUCCGACACUUCUGGCUCACCUCUCCAGCUGCCUGCUGAAUUUCUCACCUGGAGUCCCCUCGGGGUAUUCAGCUCCACGUGUCAACAUGGAAGCCAGGCCUGUUAGAGGCUACUGAGAAGAUUAACUAAGAUACUGUGACCAAAACAUCUGCUAUCCAUAUAAAAACAGCUACAGGGAGCAAGAGUGCGAUGCCUGCACCGGAGUGCGGAGAGCCGGAUGCUCAAAAUUCAGAGUGCCAGGAUUACAAGCCAACGCCACCACACAUACGAUAUUAAUUGUGUGCUUCAGUAGGAAAUCUACUCACUGCCUUGUUGAACCUGGGCCUUGUGCUAGUGUUUCCAGAGGUUUAACCAAGGAGAGAAGAACCACUCUGAAUAUGGGUGUCACCAUCCUAUCGGCUGCGGUCCUGGACUGAAUAAAGCCAAAAAAGGGGAAAGCCUAGGACCAAUGUUCACAUCUCUGCUUCCUGCCUGCAAAUGCUGCCGAUGUGACCAACUACGUCAUCUCCUGCUACCGCUACGUCAUCUCCUGCUACCGUGCCUUCCCACCUUAGACUGUGACCACCCUAGACCACCAGCCAAGAUAAACGUCCCCUCCCUUUAAGUUGCUUCUUGUCAGGUAUUUAGUCAACAGCGGUGAGAAAAGCAACUGAUGCAAUGGUGCGACACACCAGCCUGAAUAACCUUGGACUCCUGAUAGAUCUUGAUUCAUCUGUAAUCCCUGAGGCAUUCUGCAGCUAUACGAGCCAGGCAUGCAGCUUCAUCUCUGCAUCGCGGAGCAUAAGGUCUCUCCAUCGUGUAUAGACAACCUUUAUGGACAAGUGUCUGUCCACUUCCUAGUCAACACAGAAUGUUAGGUCUCAGGUAGUACAAAUAUGCAACAUGAGCUCUCAGCUGAGCUAUAGAAAGAUUUCUGGCAGUCAGAUAAGAACAAAUGUUCUUGAGGAACUCGUGAAAUGGGCUUUCUGUCCACCAAAAGGAGUCAAUUUCCUUGACCUACACACACACACACACACACACACACACACACACACACACACUAGCAUCCUGGCCCUUCUCUCCUUCCCUAAACUCCCAGGCCUGCUCCAAGUCUCCCCCAGCCACUAUCCUCCUUUUAAAUGAUUUUUAAUGAUUUUACACUCUGCCCUUGCUAGGCCACUUCUCUCACAGAUAGGCCUACCUACGUCCAGUCUGUUUCUUUUUCUCUCUGCUCUGGACUCUUCCGGAUACCUCUUACCCACAAUUCUCUCUCUUACCUUCACCCUUAAUGGAUCAGCCACUCAGACAGGCAGAUGUUUUAUUAUCUCCCCUAGCAUACAAAGACUCAGUAAAAGCUCUUUCCUUCAGUCUGAACUAUUGGCUUCCAGGGAGAGCCUGUGUCUCUG